UUUUUUAUGAGUUUUGUAAAUACUCGUAUAAUCUAUUCUUGUGAGUAAUAGAGGUUGUUUUUCUCUCAAAUUCGUGUCUACCAACGCCCAAUUGAUUCUAGGUAACCCAACAAGUGGUAUCAGAGCUUGGUUAGAGGCGUUGGUUGAAAUUUUGGGUGACCGGCCGAAUUUGGGUUUUUUGAGUUUUACUCAAAAUCCAAUUUUGAGUGCACCAUUGGAUUUGUCUCGUCGAACCAAGUCCAACACACCAAACGGCGACCUAAUCGGAGUUCAAAUGAGCCCAGAAAUCGCGGUCAAAGUU
rnacentral:lncRNA from 1 species